AUUGAACGCUGGCGGCAGGUCUAACACAUGCAAGUCGAGCGGAUGAAGGGAGCUUGCUCCUGGAUUCAGCGGCGGACGGGUGAGUAAUGCCUAGGAAUCUGCCUGGUAGCGGGGGAUAACGUCCGGAAACGGGCGCUAAUACCGCAUACGUCCUGAGGGAGAAAGUGGGGGAUCUUCGGACCUCACGCUAUCAGAUGAGCCUAGGUCGGAUUAGCUAGUUGGUGGGGUAAAGGCCUACCAAGGCGACGAUCCGUAACUGGUCUGAGAGGAUGAUCAGUCACACUGGAACUGAGACACGGUCCAGACUCCUACGGGAGGCAGCAGUGGGGAAUAUUGGACAAUGGGCGAAAGCCUGAUCCAGCCAUGCCGCGUGUGUGAAGAAGGUCUUCGGAUUGUAAAGCACUUUAAGUUGGGAGGAAGGGCAGUAAGUUAAUACCUUGCUGUUUUGACGUUACCAACAGAAUAAGCACCGGCUAACUUCGUG
rnacentral:rRNA from 1 species